GAUGAACGCUGGCGGCGUGCUUAACACAUGCAAGUCGAACGGAAAGGCCGAAGCUUGCUUCGGUACUCGAGUGGCGAACGGGUGAGUAACACGUGGGUGAUCUGCCCUGUACUUCGGGAUAAGCUUGGGAAACUGGGUCUAAUACCGGAUAUGACGAUCCCUUGGAUGGGGUUGUGGAAAGCUUUUGCGGUAUGGGAUGAGCUCGCGGCCUAUCAGCUUGUUGGUGGGGUAAUGGCCUACCAAGGCGUCGACGGGUGGCCGGCCUGAGAGGGUGUACGGCCACAUUGGGACUGAGAUACGGCCCAGACUCCUACGGGAGGCAGCAGUGGGGAAUAUUGCACAAUGGGCGCAAGCCUGAUGCAGCGACGCCGCGUGGGGGAUGACGGCCUUCGGGUUGUAAACUCCUUUCGCAAUCGACGAAGCCUUUUGGUGACGGUAGGUUGAGAAGAAGCACCGGUUAACUACGUG
rnacentral:rRNA from 1 species